rnacentral:rRNA from 1 species
AGUCGAACGAAGCAUUUAGAACAGAUUACUUCGGUUUGAAGUUCUUUAUGACUGAGUGGCGGACGGGUGAGUAACGCGUGGGUAACCUGCCUUGUACUGGGGGAUAGCAGCUGGAAACGGCUGGUAAUACCGCAUAAGCGCACAAUGUUGCAUGACAUGGUGUGAAAAACUCCGGUGGUAUAAGAUGGACCCGCGUCUGAUUAGCUAGUUGGUGAGAUAACAGCCCACCAAGGCGACGAUCAGUAGCCGACCUGAGAGGGUGACCGGCCACAUUGGGACUGAGACACGGCCCAGACUCCUACGGGAGGCAGCAGUGGGGAAUAUUGCACAAUGGAGGAAACUCUGAUGCAG